CCCUGGGGACGACCCCGGCGGCCAAGGCUAUAAAGACGGGACGGCCCGU
rnacentral:ncRNA from 1 species